AUUGAACGCUGGCGGUAGGCCUAACACAUGCAAGUCGAACGGCAGCACAGUAAUAGCUUGCUCUUACGGGUGGCGAGUGGCGGACGGUUGAGGAAUACAUCGGAAUCUACUUUUUCGUGGGGGAUAACGUAGGGAAACUUACGCUAAUACCGCAUACGACCUACGGGUGAAAGCAGGGGAUCUUCGGACCUUGCGCGAUUGAAUGAGCCGAUGUCGGAUUAGCUAGUUGGCGGGGUAAAGGCCCACCAAGGCGACGAUCCGUAGCUGGUCUGAGAGGACGAUCAGCCACACUGGAACUGAGACACGGUCCAGACUCCUACGGGAGGCAGCAGUGGGGAAUAUUGGACAAUGGGCGCAAGCCUGAUCCAGCCAUACCGCGUGGGUGAAGAAGGCCUUCGGGUUGUAAAGCCCUUUUGUUGGGAAAGAAAAGCAGCAGGUUAAUACCCCGCUGUUAUGACGGUACCGAAAGAAUAAGCACCGGCUAACUUCGUG
rnacentral:rRNA from 1 species